CAGGUUAAUGAUUUUUUAAAUCCCUGUUUGGUCUUGGUGUAGAUUCAAAAAGAGUGAACCAGGAAACAUCAUGUAAUUGAAACACUUUUAGCUUAGAAAAGAGCAGAGCAGAGGGUAACUAGCUCAGAAUUUUUAGUUGGUGGCAUGUAUUUAUGAGAUGGAAAAGUCUAUGUCUGAGAGGGGACAGAGGCUUAUCUUCUAGCGUGGAAAGGAGAAGGGGAUGGAAGAAUCACUGAAGAGGAGAAUACAGACCAAUCUCACUCCCGUGACCCCACCCAGAAGUGAUUCAAUGCAAGAGGACAGCUUGGAUCUCCUAUGACUUCAUCUCUGCCCCAACCCAUCAGCAGCAAGCACUCAUUGCCUAGCAACCACCGGCCCUUACCCCACACUGUCUUUGAAAAGCUCCUGCUUAUGAGCCUUGGAUGAGACUGAUUUGAGUGUUAACUCCACCUCCCACGUGGCGUGGCUGGCCUCCUGUCUGUGAAACUCUUUCUUUAUUGCAGUGUUGUGGUCUUUAUUUGCGCAGUGGGCAGGAAGAACCCCUUGGGUAGUUACAAAAGGUCACCUGGAAAUGAAGUGACAACUAAUUAGAAUUGAAGAAGUGUGGGUCUGCUGUCUCAUUAUGGUAAAGUCUACACUUAGGAAACCCUCAGACAUACUCUUUGAUCAAAAUGAUGCUCAUAACAUUCUGUUUUUUCAAGGCCGAAGGAUCAGUGCCCCCCGCCCCACUCUUGUCCAUUACCGAGAGCAUCCUCACAGUCCAUUGGAAAGUCCAUCAUGAAGUAACGAAUUUGUUCUCUGUGUUUAUCACCUGAAUAAUAGAUUCAGGGCCCAUCAUCUCCUGGAAAGCUAUUAAUCAUACACUGCAGUGUGGCACAGGUUUGAUGGGUUGGCCUCAAAACCAUGCCUGGCUGGAUUGGAAUUGUGGAUGAUGUUCAAUAACUGCCUUCAGAAACUAUUCAAGACAUUUAAUGAAGACACUUUUUUCUCCAUGUUUCUCUUAGGGACAAAAAAUAUAGCCAAUAGCUUUUUCCUCCUGAUUGCAAGUGCUUUCCGAAAUCCUCUGUCUUCUUAAUGGAAGAAGAUUUCUAUCUUGGCUCCUAUUAUUUGAGAGAUGUGAAAAGCAGAUUCUCCAAAUAUAUGUGAGAAACAAAACAAAAAAACCAUUUAUGAAAAGUACAAAAAGUCGCACACAUAAUAAAAGCUAAGCCCUUCCUUUCUUCCUCCUUGGUUAACUUUGGAGCCUUGAUAAAAGACAAUCUGAACAAAGAGCUCUUUAGAACAACUACAAAAAGUUUCACAAAUGCAGCGAGCAAUUACAAACUCUGUUUCAAUGGGCCUCAGAGCCACACAUAGAGAGCCAGGGUUGCCCAAGGCCGUUUCCAAGAACAUUUCUGAAGUUGGGCUUAAAACAAUUUGUUUCCAUUAUCUUUUACUCAAGGUGGGUUCUGGAAUAAUCUAUGGAAUCAUUUGCAAAAUUCAGCAUAAACUUCUCCUUGCAGAAACUCUGGUGACAUAUCAUUUGGCUGAAUCUCACAUGAUAGAUACUAAUGAGAAAUGCGAGCAUGGGUUUGAUAUAGUAUGGGCUUCCUUUUUGUAGCUAAGACAAGCCAAUUCCUGAGAAGACAUGGAUUAAAAAAAAUUGUGUCAUAUUCAUCAUUAGACACCCUUGUAUUUAAUCUACUGUACAUGUCUAAAUAAAAUUGCAAAGUGACAGGAUUCAACUUCGCAUUAAUCAUCACUUGAAAAUGGGGAGAGUGAGAAAGGAUGGCAUCUCCUUGGGGCCCAUGGACAAGGAGAAGUUUCAAAUUAUUAAGCAGAGAAAACGGAAUGUGGCUUUGCAAAGGCAAGUCAGAGCAAGCUCGCUCCAGUCUGGAGUUGUUCAAAAGGUAUAGCAGUGGCGGCAGCUGAAAAAAACCUUGAUUCUAUGAACUCACUCACGCAAUUUAAAGUCCAAAGCAUGGCUUCAUAUGUUUGAAAAACUCUAGUAUAUAGUGUGCAUUUUAAUUAUAAAAGUCAAUCAGCCAGGCACGGUGGCUCACACCUGUAAUCCCAGCACUUUGGGAGGCCGAGGUGGGCAGAUCACCUGAGGUUGGGAGUUCAAGACCAGUCUGACCAACAUGGAGAAACUAUGUCUCUAUUAAAAAUACAAAAUUAGCAGGCACGUGCCUGUAAUCCCAGCUGCUCGGGAGGCUGACGCAGAAUUGCUUGAACCCAGGUGGCGGAUGUUGCGGUGAGCCGUGAGCCAAGAUUGCACCACUGCAGUCCAGCCUGGGCAACAAGAGCAAAUCUGUCUCAAAACAAACAAACAAACAAACAAACAAAAAUCUAAAAGGACUUUUCUACUUUAUGGAAAUUUUAACUUUUUUAUUAUAAAGGUAUUCAGCUGGUAUCAUGGUGCAAAGGAGGUUGCUGCCUCCCCUGCUUUGACCUCACUGUCCUUUGCAACUCUUGCACUGUCUCAUCCCAUCUGAAUGUCUGCUUCUUGGAGGACUCGAAAUAACACAUUUGUCAGGCCUCUGAGCCAAAGCUCAGCCAUUGUAACCCCAGCGACCUGCACAUAUACGUCCAGAUGGCCCACAGGAGCCAAGAAGUCUGGAGUAGCCGAAAAACCACAAAGAAGUGAAACAGACAGUUCCUGCCUUAACUAAUUAACCCACCUUACGACAUUCUACCAUUAAGACUUGUUCCUGCCCCGCCCCAACUGAUCGAUCGACCCUGUGACAUUCUUCUGGACAAUGAGUCCCAUGAUCUCUCCACCAUGCACCUUGUGACCCCCCGCCUCCCCUGCUGACAACAGAUAACCACCUUUAACUGUAGCUUUCCACUGCCUACCCAGGCCCUAUAAAGCUGCCCCUGUCCUAUCUCCCUUCACUGACUCUCUUU
rnacentral:lncRNA from 10 species